rnacentral:rRNA from 1 species
CCUACGGGAGACAGCAGUGGGGAAUAUUGCUCAAUGGGGGAAACCCUGAUCCAGCGACGUAGCGUGCGUGAAGAAGUACUUCGGUAUGUAAAGCUCCAUCAGCAGGGAAGAAAAUGACCGUACCUGAUUAAGAAGCCCCGGCUAACUACGUACCAGCCGCCGCGGUAAUACGUAGGGGGCAAGCGUUAUCCGGAUUUACUGGGUGUAAAGGGAGCGUAGACGGCAGCACAAGUCUGGAGUGAAAUGCCCGGGCUUAACCCCGGAACUGCUGUGGGAACUGGGCAGCUAGAGUGCAGGGGAGGUAAGUGGAAUUCCUAGUGUAGCGGUGAAAUGCGUAGAUAUGAGGAGGAACACCAGUGGCGAAGGCAGCUUGCUGGAGCGUAACUGACGUUGAGGCUCGAAAGCGUGGGGAGCGAACAGGAUUAGAUACCCCGGUAGUC